CAAAGGCUUGGUCCUGACUUUACUGUCGACUCUAACUAGACUUACACAUGCAAGUAUCCGCCCCCCUGUGAGAAUGCCCAUAACUCCCUGCUUGGGAACAAGGAGCUGGCAUCAGGCACAGACCCCUCUAGCCCACGACGCCUUGCUUUGCCACACCCUCAAGGGAACUCAGCAGUGAUAAAUAUUAAGCUAUAAGUGCAAACUUGACUUAGUUAAAGUUAAGAGGGCCGGUAAAACUCGUGCCAGCCACCGCGGUUAUACGAGAGGCCCAAGUUGACAGACAGCGGCGUAAAGGGUGGUUAGGGGAUUAUCCAAACUAAAGCCGAACGCUCUCAGAACUGUUAUAAGUACCCGAGAGUAUGAAACUCAAUCACGAAAGUAGCUUUAUUUACCCUGAACCCACGAAAGCUAAGGAACAAACUGGGAUUAGAUACCCCACUAUGCUUAGCCCUAAACAUCGAUUGUACAGUACAUUCAACAUCCGCCUGGGGAUUACGAACAUUAGUUUAAAACCCAAAGGACUUGGCGGUGCUUAACAUCCACCUAGAGGAGCCUGUUCUAGAACCGAUAACCCCCGUUAAACCUCACCCUCUCUUGCUUUUUUCCGCCUAUAUACCACCGUCGUCAGCUUACCCUGUGAAGGCUUAACAGUAAGCAAAGUUGGCAAAGCCCAAAACGUCAGGUCGAGGUGUAGUGAAUGAGAGGGGAAGAAAUGGGCUACAUUUGCUAAGACUAGCAAAUACGAACGAUGCAUUGAAAUAUGCAACUGAAGGAGGAUUUAGCAGUAAGCAGGGAAUAGAGUGCCCCGCUGAAACUGGCCCUAAAGCGCGCACACACCGCCCGUCACCCUCCCCGAGCCCCCAAGACUAAACUAACUAAAAACAACUACCCGCGAAGGGGAGGAAAGUCGUAACAUGGUAAGUGUACCGGAAGGUGUACUUGGAAAAAU
rnacentral:ncRNA from 1 species